UGGGGAAUAUUGCACAAUGGGCGCAAGCCUGAUGCAGCCAUGCCGCGUGUAUGAAGAAGGCCUUCGGGUUGUAAAGUACUUUCAGCGAGGAGGAAGGUGUUGAGGUUAAUAACCUCAGCAAUUGACGUUACUCGCAGAAGAAGCACCGGCUAACUCCGUGCCAGCAGCCGCGGUAAUACGGAGGGUGCAAGCGUUAAUCGGAAUUACUGGGCGUAAAGCGCACGCAGGCGGUCUGUCAAGUCGGAUGUGAAAUCCCCGGGCUCAACCUGGGAACUGCAUUCGAAACUGGCAGGCUAGAGUCUUGUAGAGGGGGGUAGAAUUCCAGGUGUAGCGGUGAAAUGCGUAGAGAUCUGGAGGAAUACCGGUGGCGAAGGCGGCCCCCUGGACAAAGACUGACGCUCAGGUGCGAAAGCGUGGGGAGCAAACA
rnacentral:rRNA from 1 species